AGGAAACACCUAGGGAAAUCAAAAGAGAUCAUAAUUAAAUGAAAUUUUCUUGCAUUUUUCUUCAUACAGGAUUAGUUUCUGUCUCCCCUCUCUCAUCCUCCUCUGGCAGCCUCUCCACGGCACCCAUUUGUUUGGGAUGAAAUGAUGCAGACAGGUGAGUUAUCAACAUUCCAGACAUGGGCAUGAAUCACCAGCCAACAGUCCACCCUCUGAGUCACCCAUCUCUGAGAUGAUUCCAUCAAUACAAAAUCCCACCAGAAAACUCCAAAAAGAGGAAAAAUGAGCUAUCAAGCAAGAAAGGCAUGGAGCAAUGGGAAGAGAGGAUGGCAAGUGAGGUUGAGUGUUUAACAUGGACCAGGUGCUUGGAUUGCAGCCGAGAAUAAGAUAGCCCGGUCCUCACAAAGUCUACAGGGCAGGUAAAGCGACACCCCUUGGACAAGCAUAGUUUGGAUUCUUCUUAAAGUGAAAGUUUGCAGGGAAAGGGAACAGAAAGCUACAGACGGAUUGAUCUCUUCACUGUGUCUCUUUAACCCAAUCGUUUAGCAUUUCUGUGCCUCAGUUUCCCCAUCUGUAACAGGAAUGGUUCUUGUACUUACCAGCUGACACUGGGCAGGUAAACAGACUCUGAAGAUGAUAAGAACACCUUAUCAAGCAGGUUUUAUGUUAACCAAGAC
rnacentral:lncRNA from 1 species